ACCUGAGCCGAAGGCAGACGCUUAACGGUCUGAGCCACCCAGGUUGAGGUGAAAAAUCUGGCUUUGAUAUCUUCGUGGAGGUCUACCUUCUUUCAAUCCUGAAUCUGGUUCAGUUUUCUUAUUGACUUAUUACUGUAUUAAAAAUGUUUGUUUAAUUA